rnacentral:rRNA from 1 species
UACGUAGGUGGCAAGCGUUAUCCGGAAUUAUUGGGCGUAAAGAGCGCGCAGGUGGUUAAUUAAGUCUGAUGUGAAAGCCCCCGGCUUAACCGAGGAAUUGCAUCGGAAACUGUGUUUCUUGAGUGCAGAAGAGGAGAGUGGAACUCCAUGUGUAGCGGUAAAAUGCGUAGAUAUAUGGAAGAACACCAGUGGCGAAGGCGGCCGCCUGGCCUGUUACUGACGCUGAGGCACGAAAGCGUGGGGAGCAAAUAGG